rnacentral:SRP_RNA from 1 species
GCCAGGCGUGGUGGUGGGCGCCUGUAAUCCCAGCUACUCAGGAGGCUGAGGUGGAAGAAUCACUUGAACCCAGGAGGCGGAGGUUGCAGUGAACCUAGAUUGUGGCCACUGAACUCCAGCCUGGGUGACAGAGCGAGACUCCAUCUCAA